GCAACAGAUACAAAAACAGUGACGAUAACGUCAAUUCCGACGUCACAGCAGCGUUUUUACUCACUUGAAUGGCUACAUGGGAAGAAUAAUAACGUAAAGUGACACAAUUUUCGUUGCUGAUACCAUUGAUAAAGGCAUGGAAACCGAAGUGGCACAUACCCUUUCUAUGAACAUUUCGUCUUCUAUUUACCUUGCAUGUGUAUGUAACAACAAUCUACUCCAUGUGUUACAUUUCAACAGAUAUCUGCUGUUUAAACGUGUGUGUAUAUAUGUGUAUAUAUGUGUGUCAACAUCAUGGUGUUUCGAGUGAUCGCAAGUAAUGGUUAAGAUAUGCCACUAUAUAUCUUCCCACAGGGCCUGACACUCAACACGGAGGCCUAUAUCAAGUGCCUGGAGGAAGUAGUGCUGCCCUGGGUCAAGAGAGUGGCUACUG
rnacentral:lncRNA from 1 species